GGCAGAGUAACUGUUCUCGAAAACUGCCUCUCGAAAACUAUCGAAACUCGAUCUUUCUUUCUUUGCUUUCUCUUUAUGUUUUGAAGUAGGUUUGAUGUGUUCUGGAUGGUUUGAAAUGAGAGGGGGUCGUGGCUUAUUUAUAGGAAUCAGCAACCAAUCAGAACAAGCCGUGUGGCAGCCCGUGUGUCGCUUCGCAUGGCUCCGGACGCAUGCGUGGCGACACCUCGUGCUCCACUUGUCCUUCAGCAUGGCCUGCUCACAUGCAAGGUGACACCACGCCCUCUACCUGUCUGGAUGCAUGGCCUGCUCACAUGCAAGCUGACACCACGUCCUCCACAUGUCUGGCCGCAUGGCCCGGUCGCAUGCAUCGCGACACCUCGUGCUUGGCCGUUCCACCUCGUGCUCCACAUGGCUGGCUGCAUGCCUCAGUCUCAUGCAGGAUGACACACCCACGUCCAGAUGGCCUGCUGCAUGACUGAAGUGCAUGCAGGUCGACACCCCAUCUCACACAUGGCUGGCCGCAUGCUUCGGUCACAUGCAUCGCAACACCUCGUGCUUGGCCGUUCCACCUCGUGCUCCACAUGUCUACUUGCAUGUACAUGUUGCAUGUACUGCAACACCUCCUGCUUCCCUUGACACACACACUGUCAAGAGCCUGCCACCACGUCCUGAACACAUACACAUCAAGCCACCUCGAGCUUCUCGGUCGAUUUGGCCGAUUUCGGCCUUUCCGGUGAAUUUUCGUCCCGCGAUCAAUCCCAAAUAUUUUUCUACGCCCGUUCUGAUGGCCUGAGUAUUUUUAAUAAGCCCUACUGGGACUCUGAUCUUGAGGAAAAAUAUUUACCGAGCUUUCGGCUUCUUCGAAAAAUUUCGUAAUACCGAAAUUUAGGGUUUUUCGCCCAAUUUCCGGUCUCCUGUUGUGCUUCCAAAAGUUCUUGCUUCAAACAUCAUUUGAAUCAAUCUACUACAUUGUCUAACCAUUGUCCAGUGGCAUACUUGACUCAUGGUUCAGACAAGAACAAUAUGAUCAUCCGCGACUCGAUCAUCCAAAAGAUACAUUCUCCCCCCGUUAACAGAAUUCGUCCUCGAAUUCUAAGGCUCUGAGGGGCCUCCUUCUUCCAUUACAACGUCCUCUCGGAAAAACUUUGGGUGAUCGGUUUUAAAUCUCGCUUCAUCCUCCCAAGUAACAUGAAUCCUGUUUUGUCUUCCCCAGAACACUUGUACUUGAGCAAUCUCACGAUUUUUGAGCUUCCGAAUACGCCGUUAUCCUAAUCUGAUUGGUCCUUCCAGAUACGUAAGGUUUGUCUCCAACUCCUCGAUUCUCUCGGGCUCAACAGCACUUGGAUCCCGUAUAUGUUUCCGAAGCAUGGAAACAUGGAAUACUGGAUGUAGAUGCAUAUCUGCUGGCAGAUCCAAUCGGUAAGCUACCUCACCAACUUUCCCGAUGAUCUUGUACGGACCAAUGAACCUGACCGCAAGUUUCCCGACCUUGCCAAAUCUGUCCUUCCCUUUCUGUGCAGUAACCUUCAAAUAGACCCAAUCUCCUAUCUCAAAAGUUACUUCUCUUCUUGACUGGUCUGCGUACUUCUUCUGACGGUCCUGAGCCUUCUUCAUGUUGGCCUGAAUCGUCUCCAGUUUAAUCAUGGUCUCCUGAACAAUAGGUGACCCAAACAUUCUUCUUUCGCCCACUUCUGUCCAACACAUAGGCGUUUUGCAUGGUCUUCCGUAUAACGCUUCAUAAGGUGACAUCCCUAUGCUCGAAUGAUGACUAUUGUUGUAAGAGAACUCGACCAAUGGUAAAUGCUUCUCCCAAGUUCCUGCCCAAUCGAGAAUACACAUCCGCAGCAUGUCCUCGAUGGUCCUAAUGGUCCUCUCCGUUUGGCCAUCUGUUUCUGGAUGGAACGCCGUGCUUUUGUAAAGUUUAGUUCCCAAGGCUUCUUGCAGUGCUUCCCAGAAUGAUGCCGUGAACCUUGGAUCGCGAUCUGAGAUGAUGUCUGAGGGUACACCAUGUAACUUCACGAUUUGGUUGAUGUACAGCUCGGCCAAAACUUCAACUUUAUCAGUGUCCCGCAUAGGCAACAAGUGUGUAACCUUGGUUAACCUAUCCACAAUAACCCAUAUCGAGUUGUUCGAUCUACCUGGAGCAGUAGGUAAUCCAGUGAUGAAAUCCAUGGAAAUAGAGUCCCAUUUCCAUUGAGGUAUCGGAAGACUCUGCAACAAUCCUCCUGGAACUUGAUGUUCCACCUUGACUUGUUGACAAGUUGCACACUGAGCAACCCAUUGUGCUACUGAUCUCUUCAUGCCCGGCCAAUGAUAGUAUCUUCUCACGUCUCGGUACAUCUUCGAACUUCCAGGAUGGAUACUGAGUAAAGAAUGAUGUGCAAUCCUUAGUAUCUCAUCUCUCAGCCCUUGUCCUUUAGGAACCGUGAUCCUCCCAUUAAUUAGCAAGGUUCCGUCCUCCGCCAAGUAGUAUCCCGCAUUAUUUGGCCCGGCUUGUCCUUUGAGUUCUUCAGCAAUCUUCAGUAACUUCUCAUCCUUAAGUUGUUCUUCUCGAAUUCUCUGAAUCAAGCUGGCCUGAUUCACCGCUUGAAGUCCCAAUGGCUCGCUUGUCUGCCCUUCCAAAACGACCAACUUCACUUGUUUCAACUCCUGGUUCAAUAGCUCCACUUCUUUCUCUAAAUCUGCGUCCAACUUUCUUCGACUUAAGGCGUCCGCAACAACAUUCGCUUUACCAGGAUGGUAGCGAAUCCGUAUGUCGUAGUCUGCCACAAACUCCAUCCACCUACGCUGGCGCAGGUUGAGAUCUGGCUGAGUGAAGAGGUAUUUAAGACUUUGAUGGUCCGUGUAUACCUCCACUUCUUCUCCAUACAAGUAAGAUCUCCAAAUUCGCAAAGCGAACACCACGGCCGCUAACUCCAAGUCAUGUGUACUGUAGUUAUCCUCAUGCUUCCGUAGUUGUCGCGAAGCAUAUGCAAUGACUCGCCCAUCUUGCAUAAGAACACAACCUAACCCAACUCGUGAAGCAUCCGUGUAAACCGUGUAAGGUUUACCUUGCUCAGGCAAAGCUAACACAGGUGCGGUCGUGAGAGCUUCCUUCAACUUCUUGAAUGCCUUCUCGGUUUCUUCCACCCAUAAGAAAGGAACUCCUUUACCGGUAAGUUUAGUUAAAGGCUUUGCAAUGGAGGAAAAGUCCUUAACAAACUUCCGAUAAUAGCCCGCAAGUCCGAGAAAACUCCUCACUUCUGUCACAGUGGUAGGUCGAGGCCAUUCUCGUAUGGCUUGGACCUUUUCUGGAUCAGCAGCCACGCCCUCUCCUGAUACUAUGUGACCCAGAAAUCCUAUCUCUCUCUUCCAAAACGAGCACUUGCUGGACUUGGCAAAUAGCUUCUGAUUCCGUAACCUCUCCAUAACCAGUCUCAGAUGCUCUUUGUGCUCUUCCUUACUUCUCGAGUACACCAGGAUGUCAUCAAUGAAAAUGAUCACGAACUUGUCGAGAUAGUCGUGAAACACUUCAUUCAUCAAACGCAUGAAAGCCGCAGGCGCGUUUGUGAGACCAAAGGGCAUAACUACAAACUCGUACUGCCCAUACCUCGUCCGAAACGCCGUCUUCAUAAUGUCUGACUUGGCAAUAGGAAUUUGGUGAUACCCUGAUGCCAAAUCAAUCUUCGAAAACCAACUAGCUCCCUUUAGUUGGUCUAACAACUCGUCUAUCCUCGGAAGAGGAUACUUAUCUUUUAUCGUGAUGUUGUUGAUACCACGAUAAUCGAUACACAACCUCAUGCUUCCAUCCUUCUUCUUCACAAAUAACACAGGAGCUCCCCAAGGUGAAGAGCUCGACCGGAUGAAUCCCUUUUCCAAUAGAUCUUCCAAUUGUUUCUUUAGCUCGGCUAAUUCCGCAGGUGCCAUCCGAUAUGGUGCCUUAGCUAUAGGUUUUGCUUCAGGCUCCAAAGUAAUGGUAAAGGGAUUACUCCGAGGUGGAGGUAAUUCCUUUAGUGGUGCAAAGAUAUCCUCAAACUCUUGGACCACUUCUAUGUCUUCGACCUUAACUUCAUCAUUAGUGGCUCCUCCACUAACCGAUAAGGUCACCAAAUAUACAUCCCCGUCUUGAAACAAAUCUUGUACUCUCAUCGCUGCUACUAAAGACACGGUCAUACUAGGACUGAUUCCAUAGUAUACCAUCUCUGGUCGUUUACCUCUGCCGAACAACAACCUUCCCCUUCCACAGUCGAUCUGAACUCCAUAGCUCGAUAACCAAUCCAUUCCAAGGAUUACCUCGUACCCUUUCAAAGGCACGACUAACAGAUCCGCCACAAACUCUUUGCCUUGAAUGACCAAUGGAACAUUCUUGAUACACUGAUUUGCUUGAAGGGUUCGGUCUGCGGGGGUCAAAACGGCCACGUCUAUCCUGUCAACCACAAAACAAUCCCAAAACCGGGCAGCUACUUCAGGGGUCACAAAACUAUGUGUUGCCCCCGAGUCGAACAAUACAUGUGUGGGUUUACCAGCAACAUGUAUGGUUCCUGCCACAGUAAUCCAAUCAACAAUAUCUUAAUCACAAAAAUACUAAUCAAAAUUCUCACAACCAUCAAUCAUCAUCCUAAAUUUCUAAACGCGCAACCUAGCGAUCAAGCAAUCUAUAACUAACCAGCAUACUAACUAGAUUCCAACAACUAAAUUUCCAUUCAAUAAAAAGAAGAGGUUAAGCACCCACAAUACAUGUGAUGGGACCGCUUGACGGUCCUGCAUUGUCUGGGUUUUCUACACCUAAGGCAUAAACUCUACCUCCUAGGUUUUGCUUCUUUGGUGCUGGCUCAAUAGCUGGACGGCUAGGAGGAGCUCGGAUUGCGAGAGGGGUCGCUGGGAUUGGCUUGUUUGGACAUGACGAUGCAUAAUGGCCCUUCAUACCGCAAGAGAAACAAGUAACAUCUUCCAUCCUUAUUGAUGAAUAACGCUGCUGGUUACUCCGUUGUCUGUUGGGACAAAACUUAGAAAUAUGUCCCGGUUGAUCACAUAUGUAACACACCACAGUGUUACCACGAUUGUUGGCUUGGCCUCCAAAUCCUCGUCCUUUUCCUUUGUAAGAUCUUGGACCCUUGUUGAAAUUUGGCCUUUCUCCUUGGCUAAACUUGGUGUGUCCACCAGAAUGUGGUAAGGUCUUCCUUUCAGCCUCCAAUACAGUUUCAACAUUAACAGCUUUUUCCACUAGGUCAGAUAAGCUGCUAAAGUUGCUUCCAGCUAAACGACUUCCAAGCUCCGGCUUCAAUCCGUACAUAAAGUUACGGAUCAUAGUUGCUUCAUCUUCAUGCCCAUCAAAGACAUGUCGCCUCAACCUUGUGAACUCAGAUUCGUAACUCCUCACUGGCCGAUCUCCUUGAACAAGGUUCAUGAACUGGCGCUCCAAUCGAUGCUUUGCUUCUGGAGGAAAGUAUUUCCUCUCAAACUCUCCCUUGAACGACUCCCAUGAUGUGAUGUUGUGUCCACGCUGUCUGUCUAUGCUGUCCCACCAUCCUGUGGCGUCGCCUUCCAAGUAGUACACAGCGAUCUUCUUCUUAUACUCCUCCGGGCACUCCAUGGCUUCAAAAUUCUUCUCCAUCAUAGUAAUCCACUUGUCGGCCUCAAUAGGAUCGGAUCCUCCUUUGAACUUGUAGGAUUCAAUGUUCUUCAUGGUAGAUAAUAGCUUGGAAACUUCAGGGGGUUGAGUACGCCUGCCUUGGUUACUAAGUGCCUCGGUCAUCACGUCAUGUAAAAGCUUCAAGGUGUUUUCGGUUCCAUGAUCUUGUGGUCUUUCGGUGGCACGGUUCUGAUCUGGCCUUGGGUUUGAUUGAGUGGAUUGAUCAUGUUGAUGUCUCUGGUCCCAAUUACGACUUGGGCCAAUACUCGCCAUACUGUCUUCUCUCACUCUAGUCAUGUUACCGUAAACAGGAAAAGAUCUUGUUCUCUGCAGAGGGCUCCUAUCGUGUCCAAACAUCUCACUAAUGCCAUUUCCAUUAUCCUGAUCUGAUCUGUGACCCAAACCUCCGCCUGUCCAAUCCAUACCCUCUCCCCAUAUCCGUACUCGUCCAUCAUCACCUGUCCCGCGAUUGGCCAUCUGCACACAAUAAAAAGGGUAAGUCAUAUUCCUACCACGGGAAGCAGCUGGUUUCCUAAUCAUCUUUUUGCGACUCCUUUGACUCGAUAAAACCGUUAAAAAAAAGCACUUGUGUCACGCAUGGACGAAACCAUGCUCUGAUACCACCUCUGUAACACCCCCGAACCGUUCUAGGCAUAGGUCAAACCACCGGCCAACAAUCAAACAAGAACAUGACCGACGGCCCGACCGUCUACCAAGGCUCAGGAGCGCUACAAGACGGGUUAACGGGCAAUCCAGCCAAAGUUACAAAAAGUGCAAUUUGUAACUAGGCCAGGCCGCCCACUAACACGUCCCGUCAGACCAAAGCCUAAGGCUUCUCAACCCGUACUCCAAUCUGACGUUGUGUUAGCUCGGACAAGCUAAUAUCAGAACAACAAGGUAGUUUCACAAAACAUUCGCUUUAUUUAUCUUAUAUAAUAUCUGGUUUACAAUACACAAAAUAUUAUACAAGUGGUGGCAUGCCAAGAAAGCGAAAGUACAUACUUAUAGUCUGAAAGCGUCUUAAGCAAAAAGAUGCAAAUCUACACCAGCCAGCCUAGCCUCCCGCGCUUUCUACGAGCUCACUACUGGUCACCUGAAAACAUCUAAGCAUUCUGCAUUCGCUAACUAACCAAUCAACCUAACCAUUAGCAUGCUACUACGGUUCUCAAGCAAUAACUAAGCAUGCUAUCAACUUAAUCAACAAAACCUCAAUUAUUAACUACUCAAACCGUUACUCAGUUAAACCUGGCCUCCUGCCAUGAUCCAACUUCCAAGUAAUGGGACCCUGCAUAAAAACAACUCAGCAAUCAAUUGAUUAUAACUCACAGUUUUUGGUUGACCGUGGCCUUGACCCCAAACCCGACUUCUGCGAUCCGAACCCUUUCCCGACCUUCACAAGUAGACCCACGUCUGGACUGAUCUCCACUUGAACUGGUCUCCACUAGAACUGAUCUCUCUUCACUUGAACAGAACCUUCUACAGGUGCUGACUCAAAAUCGGCAGAGUAACUGUUCUCGAAAACUGCCUCUCGAAAACUAUCGAAACUCGAUCUUUCUUUCUUUGCUUUCUCUUUAUGUUUUGAAGUAGGUUUGAUGUGUUCUGGAUGGUUUGAAAUGAGAGGGGGUCGUGGCUUAUUUAUAGGAAUCAGCAACCAAUCAGAACAAGCCGUGUGGCAGUCCGUGUGUCGCUUCGCAUGGCUCCGGACGCAUGCGUGGCGACACCUCGUGCUCCACUUGUCCUUCAGCAUGGCCUGCUCACAUGCAAGGUGACACCACGCCCUCUACCUGUCUGGAUGCAUGGCCUGCUCACAUGCAAGCUGA
rnacentral:lncRNA from 1 species